GUGUCCGUGUCAGUGUGUGAGAGUGAGCGCCGCUCGCUUCUCUGUCGGUCUUUGUCUCCCUUCCUCACCAGCUCAGCGCGGCAGUCGGCGGGCCAGCGCACAGAUUAAUCCAACAGAGGGAAACGCUCUUAUUCUCCACUUCUACUUUGGUUUUGCGCUCUCUCUCUCUCUCACCCACUCACUCACACACAACCAACGAUCAUCUUGCUCUGGUAUAUUUGCACACAAGCUAGCUUCUUCCUUAUUAGACGGAGCCGGGGGAGUGGGCGGGGUUGCAGAGGUGUCUGCGGCC